rnacentral:rRNA from 1 species
GUGAAUGGCGGGAAUCUACCCUUUUCUACGGAAUAGCGCGUGGAAACUUGUGCUAAUACCGUAUACGCCCUUCGGGGGAAAGAUUUAUCGGAAAAGGAUGAGCCCGCGUUGGAUUAGCUAGUUGGUGGGGUAAAGGCCUACCAAGGCGACGAUCCAUAGCUGGUCUGAGAGGAUGAUCAGCCACAUUGGGACUGAGACACGGCCCAAACUCCUACGGGAGGCAGCAGUGGGGAAUAUUGGACAAUGGGCGCAAGCCUGAUCCAGCCAUGCCGCGUGAGUGAUGAAGGCCCUAGGGUUGUAAAGCUCUUUCACCGGUGAAGAUAAUGACGGUAACCGGAGAAGAAGCCCCGGCUAACUUCGUGCCAGCAGCCGCGGUAAUACGAAGGGGGCUAGCGUUGUUCGGAAUUACUGGGCGUAAAGCGCACGUAGGCGGACAUUUAAGUCAGGGGUGAAAUCCCAGAGCUCAACUCUGGAACUGCCUUUGAUACUGGGUGUCUAGAGUAUGGAAGAGGUGAGUGGAAUUCCGAGUGUAGAGGUGAAAUUCGUAUAUAUUCGGAGGAACACCAGUGGCGAAGGCGGCUCACUGGUCCAUUACUGACGCUGAGGUGCGAAAGCGUGGGGAGCAAACAGGAUUAUAUACCCUGGUACUCCACGCCGUA